rnacentral:rRNA from 1 species
UACGUAGGGCCCGAGCGUUAUCCGGAUUUAUUGGGCGUAAAGCGCAUGUAGGUGGAUUUUUAAGUCUUUCUUCAAAGCCCGGAGCUCAACUCCGGUUCUGGGAAAGAUACUAAUAAUCUAGAGGAUGGUAGGGGCAAGCGGAAUUCCCGGUGUAGCAGUGAAAUGCGUUGAUAUCGGGAGGAACACCAAUGGCGAAGGCAGCUUGCUAGACCUUUCCUGACACUGAGAUGCGAAAGCGUGGGGAG